rnacentral:rRNA from 1 species
UACGUAGGGUCCAAGCGUUGUCCGGAAUUAUUGGGCGUAAAGAGCUCGUAGGCGGUGUGUCGCGUCGGAUGUGAAAGCCCGGGGCUUAACUUCGGGUCUGCAUUCGGUACGGGCAUGCUGGAGUUCGGUAGGGGAGACUGGAAUUCCUGGUGUAGCGGUGAAAUGCGCAGAUAUCAGGAGGAACACCGGUGGCGAAGGCGGGUCUCUGGGCCGAUACUGACGCUGAGGAGCGAAAGCGUGGGGAGCGAACAGG